GACGAACGCUGGCGGCGUGCUUAACACAUGCAAGUCGAACGGAAAGGCCCUGCUUUUGUGGGGUUCUCGAGUGGCGACCGGGUGAGUAACACGUGAGUAACCUGCCCUUGACUUUGGGAUAACUUCAGGAAACUGGGGCUAAUACCGGAUAGGAGCUCCUGCUGCAUGGUGGGGGUUGGAAAGUUUCGGCGGUUGGGGAUGGACUCGCGGCUUAUCAGCUUGUUGGUGGGGUAGUGGCUUACCAAGGCUUUGACGGGUAGCCGGCCUGAGAGGGUGACCGGCCACAUUGGGACUGAGAUACGGCCCAGACUCCUACGGGAGGCAGCAGUGGGGAAUAUUGCACAAUGGGCGGAAGCCUGAUGCAGCAACGCCGCGUGCGGGAUGACGGCUUUCGGGUUGUAAACCGCUUUCGCCUGUGACGAAGCGUGAGUGACGGUAAUGGGUAAAGAAGCACCGGCUAACUACGUG
rnacentral:rRNA from 1 species